GGAAUCUUAGACAAUGGGCGCAAGCCUGAUCUAGCCAUGCCGCGUGAGCGAUGAAGGCCUUAGGGUUGUAAAGCUCUUUCACCGGGGAAGAUAAUGACGGUAGCCAGAGAAGAAGCCCCGGCUAACUCCGUGACAGCAGCCGCGGUAAUACGGAGGGGGCAAGCGUUGUUCGGAAUUACUGGGCGUAAAGGGCGCGUAGGCGGAACGUCAAGUUAGGGGUGAAAGGCCUGGGCUCAACCUAGGAACGGCCUCUAAAACUGACGAUCUAGAGUCCGGAAGAGGAUGGCGGAAUUCCCAGUGUAGAGGUGAAAUUCGUAGAUAUUGGGAAGAACACCGGUGGCGAAGGCGGCCAUCUGGUCCGGUACUGACGCUGAGGCGCGAAAGCGUGGGGAGCAAAC
rnacentral:rRNA from 1 species